AUGGUUCCGAGCUGCUGGUUCUUCUGGGCGUUGUGGCUACCACUGAUGCUCUCCGUCGCUGCGGCCGAGGAACAAGUGGAAUCCUGCUCGGCCAAGAAGUGCGGCAACACCACCAUCUCCGACCCAUUCUGGCUCACUGACUGGGAGACCGCAAGAUCAUGUGGUUCCCCAGACUUCGAGGUCAAUUGCCAUAACGGCACUUCUCCCGUUCUACUGAGCCCUAUACGCAUCGGCCUCGAUUUUGAAAUCAUCAAUAUUUCUUACGAGGGGCGCAUUUUGCGCGUGGUUGAUAGAGACAAGCUGAACUUGCUGCAAGCCUCCAACAGCUGCCAAGUAGCCAUGUGGAACACCUCCGUCAAAGUGGAUCUCCCCGUUCAGGUUCUCCCCCGUUAA
rnacentral:rRNA from 1 species